rnacentral:lncRNA from 1 species
AAGGACACCAGGUUUCCACAACUCCGUAUAGUAAUCCCUCGAAGCUGCCGGAGAUUAUGUAAACCACUCGGUAAAUUUUUUAGAUUUUCACAAUCAUCUACACUAAUUGUUUCAAGAGAUGUGUUGUUGUCCAACCUUUCUGCUAUUGACUCCAGCUUUGAACAUCCAUAAACACGAAGGGACUUAAGAGACGGAGGUAGAUUGCCAACUUCAAGGGACUCAAGCGUCGCAGGUAACUCGUUUUUUGAAAAUAUACAUGUCAGUGAUGGACAAUCCCUAAUUUCUAACUUCUCAAGAAGAGAUGAGGUGUACCUUCUGUUGCUGCUGCUUCUGCUACUCUGGAUGCCCUCUUCCACUGUCAAAGUCCUUAUAUUAUCGCAACACCAG